rnacentral:rRNA from 1 species
AUGUUCAGAAUGAGGAGGUCAGUGUUUCGCACAUUGCAUGAUCUAUUAGUUCAGAAGUAUGGGCUUGAGUCAACUUCCAACAUUUCAUCCAAAGAAGCAUUGGCACAAUUCUUAUGGACUGUGGGUACAUGUCAGACAACUGAUAAUGUCGCAGAUCGGUUUGCACAUAGUCGUUCUGUCAUUAAUAAAAAUUCCACGAGGUUUUGGAGUGUGUAG